rnacentral:misc_RNA from 1 species
GUUAGGUUCCCCAAAAGUAGUGUAUUCUUGGAGAAUCCAACACACACCCGUGUCAACUGGGUGCAUCAAUGAUCAAAAAGCGUAGUUGCGCAGGCUUUUCACUUUCGAUGCCGCACCCAUGUCAGAUUCUCCAAAUAUACACUAGUUUUGGAGAACCCGACACACACCUAGUUAAAUUGAAAGGUUGAGCACAUUUUAGGAGGUAAGUCUUUUGG